ACUACCCUCCUCGCUUCCACAACACCGGCCGCAGCAGACUCGCCUAGGGCUAUUCCGCCGCCGCCGCCGUCCGACGCCGGGGCUCGCCGCCGCUGGGGUGUGGUGCUGCAGCAUUCGUUUCUCGAUGGAGAAUAGCGCCGGCUUCCUCCUUCCAGAUCUUUGCAUAGCUCGUCCUCCUGGCCGACCUCGCAUGUGCGCCGCCACCUUGCUGCCAUCCCGGCGAGCGUUCCGACAGCCGCCGCUUGCCUCUUCAUUCUCCGCCUCCGCCUGCUUCCGUGACGUCGCCUCCAAUAUUGCAAAGGUUUCUUGGACUUAGAUAAAGCGAUGUUUAGAAAAAUCAGUGCAACAACAUCAGCUCCAAGGCGAGAAAUAUGUCUCUACUUUGACUGGACCAUUGGGCGUUGAGGCAUGGGAUUGCAGUAAGGAUCUCCUCGGUGACCUCAUAUAUCCCUUACAUAGAACAGUUACCGGAAACAAUUAUGUGUGUGCGCAAUUCGAUGUACAAAAUGCUAAACAUGUAUAUACUUGGCACACGAUAAUUUCCUUUUGUAUCAUGUAAAAUUACA